rnacentral:rRNA from 1 species
UGGGGAAUAUUGCACAAUGGAGGGAACUCUGAUGCAGCGACGCCGCUUGAACGAAGAAGGCUUUCGCGUCGUAAAGUUCUUUUAUAUGGGAAGAUAAUGACGGUACCAUAAGAAAAAGCCCCGGCUAACUACGUGCCAGCAGCCGCGGUAAUACGUAGGGGGCUAGCGUUGUCCGGAAUCACUGGGCGUAAAGGGUUCGCAGGCGGAAAUGCAAGUCAGGUGUAAAAGGCAGUAGCUUAACUACUGUAAGCAUUUGAAACUGCAUAUCUUGAGAAGAGUAGAGGUAAGUGGAAUUUUUAGUGUAGCGGUGAAAUGCGUAGAUAUUAAAAAGAAUAACGGUGGCGAAGGCGGCUUACUGGGCUCAUUCUGACGCUGAGGAACGAAAGCGUGGGUAGCAAACAGG